UACGUAGGGUGCAAGCGUUGUCCGGAUUUAUUGGGCGUAAAGAGCUCGUAGGCGGUUUGUCGCGUCGGAUGUGAAAACCCAGGGCUCAACCCUGGGCCUGCAUUCGAUACGGGCAGACUAGAGUAUGGCAGGGGAGACUGGAAUUCCUGGUGUAGCGGUGAAAUGCGCAGAUAUCAGGAGGAACACCGGUGGCGAAGGCGGCGUUCUGGACUGCAACUGACACUGAGGAACGAAAGCCAGGGGAGCAAACGGG
rnacentral:rRNA from 1 species